UAUCACUCUGCCCUUUCUUGCACUCGACACGGUGAUACUUAAUCUUGCCAGCUAUUUCGUGGUACUGGUAGUGAUGGUGGUGGCGAUGGCGUGGUGGUGGUGCUGCUGCUACUACUCCGAAAGAGAAGAAGGCAAACGCAACCAAGCAAGCUAAAAUACUCGUCUUGUCGUUCUAAAUUUAACCGAGGAACGUACUCACCAUAUAUCGAGCUUUUCAAAAAAUUCCACGCUUCUACGGAAAAACAUUCUCUGCGUAUGUUCCAAAGAUUCGAAAAAAGAAAGAAAGAACGACUGGAAACAAUUGUGAAAAUCUGUGGAAUGUCAGAUGGAAACUUUGGAAAGGAUAAAUUCGUUCGGUAAGGCCAUUGAAUGUAAACGGAAUCGUCGUCACGAGGCAAACUCGAUGGACCGACGAAACGUGGUAAACGUAUGAAGUUCAUCUCGGCAGUAGUAGGAAUAUGUUAUAGGCUAGGGUGGCGCGUCAUUGGUAUCGUCAUUGUGAGCAGUACCGUGCUCUCCCAUCCAUGCACAUAGAUACGAUACGUACACAUAGGAGUACAUUU
rnacentral:lncRNA from 1 species